rnacentral:rRNA from 1 species
UACGAAGGGGGCUAGCGUUGUUCGGAAUUACUGGGCGUAAAGGGCGCGUAGGCGGCCUGUUAAGUCGAACGUGAAAUCCCCGGGCUCAACCCGGGAACUGCGUCCGAUACUGUCAGGCUUGAAUCCGGGAGAGGGAUGCGGAAUUCCAGGUGUAGCGGUGAAAUGCGUAGAUAUCUGGAGGAACACCGGUGGCGAAGGCGGCAUCCUGGACCGGCAUUGACGCUGAGGCGCGAAAGCCAGGGGAGCAAACGGG